ACUUCUUUAGUAUAAUUAGUACAAUUGACUUCCAAUCAAUUAGUUCCAGACCAACCCGGAAAGAAGUA
rnacentral:tRNA from 2 species